CAGGUGGACAGGCUGCAGAAGGACGUGCAGAGUCAGGAUGCAUCCUGUGAGGAGGCCUGUCGGAGAUGUCAAGAACUGCAGAUGUGUGCAGAGAAGACACAAAGGACACUGAUGAAACUGACCAAGGCGGAUGAGCUGGCUCCGGUGGGGAACUACGACCAGAGGAAGCAGGAAGAGGAGACACGACUGCAGAACAUCCUGGAGCGUUUGAACACCCUCUCUCUGGAGCUUUCACCACCAGGACCCAGCUCUGCUGCCGGAGAUGUUUCAAAGGAAGAUAACGAGGAGGACGAUGAAGACGAAGACAGCAG